rnacentral:rRNA from 1 species
ACGCUGGCGGUGCGGAUGCUAACUACAAUGCAAGUCGAUGUGCGCGCCUGUAGCCAAUACAGGUGGCGCACGGCGCACGGGUGCGGUAACACGUGGGCAAUCUGCCCUCUGAUGGGGAAUAACCCGCCGAAAGGCGGGCUAAUACCGCAUAACAUUCCUUGGAUUUCGAUUCGAGGACUCACAGGCGUAAGGUCGUCGGAGGAGGAGCCCGCGCCACGAUUAGCUAGUUGGUAGGGUAAUGGCCUACGAAGGCUUGUGAUCGGUAGCUGGGUCUGAGAGGAUGGCACAGCCUACACUGGAACUAGAGACACGGUCCCAGACUCCUACGGGAGGCUAGCAGUGGGGAAUCUUGCACAAUGGGCGAAAGCGCCUGGAUGCAGCGACGCCGCGUGGGGAAUGAAGCAUUUCGGUGUGUAAACCCCUGUUCGAUCCGGAACGAAUACCUCGCAAGAGCGGGGUGACGGUACGGCAUAUAAGACAGCCCCGGCUAACUACGUGCCAGCAGCCGCGGUAAGACGUAGGGGGGCCAGCGUUGUGUCGGAAUUACUGGGUGUAAAGAGGGUUCGUAAGGCGGUGUGCCCGGCAAGUUGGGAGGUGAAAUCUCUGGGCUCAAACCCAGAGGCUGCUUCCAAAACUGCCGUGCUUGAGUGGUGAGAGAGCGCGCGUGGAAUUGCAGGUGUACGCGGUGAAAUGCGUAGGAUAUCUGGCGAGGAACACCCGUGGCGAAAGCGGCGCGCUGGAUCACUAGCUGACGCCUGAGGAACGAAAGCUAGGGGAGCAAAACAGGAUUAGAUACCCCUGGUAGUCCUAGCCCUAAAACGAUCAGGACUUGGGGGUGCCACCCCGUUCGGGUGUCGUCCCGGAGCUAACGCGUUAAGUCCUGCACCUGGGGGAGUACGGUCGCAAGACUGAAACUCAAAGGAAUUGACGGGGGGCCCGCACAAGCGGUGGAACAAUGUGGUUCAAUUCGACGCUACGCGAGGAACCUUACCCUGGGCUCGAAAUGCUGGUGACCAGCUGUAGACAAUACAGCCUUCCGCACAGGGGUACACCCAGUACGUAGGGCGCUGCAUGGCUGUCCGCUCGUCAGCAUCGUGCCGUUGAGGUGUUGGGUUAAGGUCCCCGCAACGAGCGCAACCCCCUGCACACAGUUACUACCUACGCAAGAGAGGACUCUGUGUGGACUGCUUCCGGAUAACGGAGAGGUAAGGUGGGGAUUAGACGUCAAGUCCGCAUGGCCUUUAUUGUCCAGGGCUACACACGUGUUACAAAUGCAGGGGCACAAACCGUUAGCCAACCCGCGAGGGGGGAGGCUAAUCGGAAAAAACUCUGCUCAGUUUCGGAUUGCAGUCUGCAACUCGACUGCAUGAAGCCGGAAUCGCUAGUAUGGCGUAUCAGCGCUCGACGCCGUGAAUACGUUCCGGGCCUUGUACACACCGCCCUUCACAUCCCGAAAGUGAGUUGUCUCGCCGUCGCCGCGAACCGCAAGGCCGCAAGCCCCAAGGUAUGCCUCCUGAUGGGGUG